rnacentral:rRNA from 1 species
CUGGGCGUAAGCGUGCGUAGGUGGUCGUUUAAGUCCGUUGUGAAAGCCCUGGGCUCAACCUGGGAACUGCAGUGGAUACUGGGCGACUAGAAUGUGGUAGAGGGUAGCGGAAUUCCUGGUGUAGCAGUGAAAUGCGUAGAGAUCAGGAGGAACAUCCAUGGCGAAGGCAGCUACCUGGACCAACAUUGACACUGAGGCACGAAAGCGUGGGGAGCAAACAGGAUUA